rnacentral:rRNA from 1 species
UGGGGAAUCUUCCGCAAUGGACGAAAGUCUGACGGAGCAACGCCGCGUGAGUGAAGAAGGUUUUCGGAUCGUAAAACUCUGUCUUUUUGGGGCGAACGUGAGUAUGGUGAACAAUCAUAGUCAGUGACGGUACCAAAGGAGGAAGCCACGGCUAACUACGUGCCAGCAGCCGCGGUAAUACGUAGGUGGCAAGCGUUGUCCGGAAUUAUUGGGCGUAAAGAGCGCGUAGGCGGGAUAGUCAGUCUGUUGUAAAGUGCGGGGCUCAACCCCGUGAUCGCAAUGGAAACAGCUAUUCCUGAGUGCAGGAGAGGAAAGUGGAAUUCCCAGUGUAGCGGUGAAAUGCGUAGAUAUUGGGAGGAACACCAGUGGCGAAGGCGACUUUCUGGACUGUGUCUGACGCUGAGGCGCGAAAGCCAGGGGAGCGAACGGGAUUAGAUACCCCGGUAGUCCUGGCCGUAAACGAUGGGUACUAGGUGUGGGAGGUAUCGACCCCUUCCGUGCCGGAGUUAACGCAAUAAGUACCCCGCCUGGGGAGUACGGUCGCAAGACUGAAACUUAAAUGAAUUGAC